GUAGGUGGCAAGCGUUGUCCGGAAUUAUUGGGCGUAAAGCGCGCGCAGGCGGUUCUUUAAGUCUGAUGUGAAAGCCCACGGGCUCAACCGUGGAGGGUCAUUGGAAACUGGAGAACUUGAGUACAGAAGAGGAAAGCGGAAUUCCACGUGUAGCGGUGAAAUGCGUAGAGAUGUGGAGGAACACCAGUGGCGAAGGCGGCUUUCUGGUCUGUAACUGACGUUGAGGCGCGAAAGCGUGGGGAGCAAACAGGAUUAGAUACCCUGGUAGUCCACGCCGUAAACGAUGAGUGCUAAGUGUUAGGGGGGUUUCCGCCCCUUAGUGCUGCAGCUAACGCAUUAAGCACUCCGCCUGGGGAGUACGGCCGCAAAGGCUG
rnacentral:rRNA from 1 species